rnacentral:lncRNA from 1 species
AUGAAUGGUUGUGAUGUUUUAGUGUUACAUUAAGAUGAAGACUUUGAACCCUAUUACUAUUGAGAUGUGGUUAAGUUAGGACAAACUCUUUGUUUUCUACAGAGAGCUAUGGCACGCUUGUGCUGUUCCUCUCGUGACAGUCCCUUGUUUGUUGCUGGUCUCUUCCUUUUGCUCUGUUCUUGAGUUUUAAUCUUUAUCAUAUAUCAUCAGAAACUGCUACUAGUUUCUCUGUCAUUAGUAUAUGUUUCUCUCUUUUGCUCUUGCAGCGUUCUUAAUUUCUUAUUCAAUGCUCCAUGAAACAAGAUGGUCACUUGUAGGUUGGUUAAUCUCGCCUUGUCAAGCCGGAAGAAGAGAGAGCGGUGACAAGGUGAAGCCGGAAGUGGAGACAACGGUGAAGCUACGGCUGAGGCGGUGAAGCCGAGGAGUACAGACGGAAGUUGGGCUAGUAUCAUUUUCUGGUUUUGAUUGUUUGGUCUCUGAAGUUAUAUCAUUCAUAAGAGUGAUUAGGA